rnacentral:lncRNA from 1 species
GGCAUCUCUCCCUCCCUGCUCAGGCGCCUCACUGUGCUGUGAGUGUGUUCCUAUUUACAUGCGCAGGUUCCCCGCUGGUGGGACCCGGGCGGGCAGACAGACCAUCCAUCAUCCAUCUUACUCCCCGCUGAGCCCUGCAUCCAUCGCAGAUCCCAUGGCCGGUGGGGCAGCACCUGCGAGACAGCCUGCAGCUUCCCUCUGCUCUCCCUUGCCACGCCUCACAGGCUGGUGGUGCCCUUGAGAGCCACUGCGUUCUCCAAGGCCAAACCCAGAAAGUUAUAAUGGGUCAUGUACAAAGAUGUGCUAUAUACUGGUAGUGUAUAUAUGAAACAGACCCAUUGUGUUCAAGACAUGUGAGCCCUAAGCAAUGUGAUUCCAGUGAUAGGCUAUGUCCAUUUUGCAGAUGGGGAAAUUGAGAUGAAACAGACUAGCACCAGGAGGAGAGCCAUCAAUACUCAGAUAAUAGAAAAAAAUCAGCUAAAAGGCUGGGUGCCUUGGACAUCAGAAAACAGACAUAAAUAUCUCCAGACAUAAAAAUCUCCAGUAUUCAGGCCGUCUUGCCAAAAGUGUACACAAGACAGGAUGAGAGAUUUCUUCUUACCCUGGCCACCACCCUGAAAACUAUUGGGCCAUUCUCAGUGGGAGGAGGGAACAUCCAUUAUGAGUUCUCUCUGGAUUGUGGGAACUCUCACCCUUUCUCUUAAACAAAUAUCAGCACCACCAAAUCUGUAAUUGAAGUCAUUAAGAUGGGCUUUUUAAUGUUCAAAACAGGAACUGUUGAUUAUAUUGUUCUGAAGUCCUAAGUUAUUGUUGCAGAAAGUUCAUAGGGAACAAACAGCAUCAGUGUUCUUUUCCGACUCACUAUGGGCAGUGUAAGGAGUAAAGGGGUCUAAAGGCACAGAAUACACAAGAAAUCCCAGUAAAGACCGUGAGUUCAGCCUAUGCUUACUCUAGAACUGAUCGACCCCUUUCAUACCUGAGAUGAGUGAGUAAAGGGAUUAUGCUGGUCUGGGAGGAUCUAACUCUUUGGGGUUGUAUCUGCUUAAAAUGCCUGGAAAUAAAAUUUAACCAACAAGUAAAAAUGUGUACUUCAAUAAUCUUCUGUCCACCACUAACAGUCAUGACUGGAACCUGCACACAGAGGUAGUCAGGUAGAGAUGAGCAAGAUAGUCCUAGCAUGCAACAUACCAGGACAUACAACAGAACAAAGUUAUCAAAAGUCCAUCUGAUUUUCCUUUGAUGUUUGUGAAGAAUUCUUUAGAAUUUUCUUUCUGAUAAUCUCCAAGUCUUCCAUCACUUUCUAUGUUUUUUUUUUAUGCAGUGACUUUUAACAUUUUGACUUUGCUUAAGAUGAAAUAUGUAUGUUUUAAAAGAA